rnacentral:rRNA from 1 species
CGGACGGGUGAGUAAUGUCUGGGAAACUGCCUGGUGGAGGGGGAUAACCACUGGAAACGGUAGCUAAUACCGCAUAACGUCGCAAGACCAAAGAGGGGGACCUUCGGGCCUCUUGCCAUCGGAUGUGCCCAGAUGGGAUUAGCUAGUAGGUGGGGUAACGGCUCACCUAGGCGACGAUCCCUAGCUGGUCUGAGAGGAUGACCAGCCACACUGGAACUGAGACACGGUCCAG